GACUGCUUGGCGCAAUGGUAGCGCGCGGUCCUCCUAUUUACAGGCUAGCUUGCUAAAUGGGCAGUGAAGACUGAGGUUGCGGGUUCGAGUCCCGUGGUGGUCG